rnacentral:tRNA from 1 species
AGUGAUUUAGGUUAAAAGGAUAAACCUAAAACCUUCAAAGUUUUAAAUAAGAAUGGAAGUUUCUUAAUCUCUG